rnacentral:rRNA from 2 species
CGGGCGUCUUAACAUGCAAGUCGAACGAUUAAAGCACCUUCGGGUGUGUAUAAAGUGGCGAACGGCUGAGUAACACGUGGGCAACCUGCCCCUUUCAUCGGGAUAGCCACGGGAAACCGUGGAUAAUACCGAAUACUUCGAGACUUCCGCAUGGAAGACUCGAGAAAGCUCCGGCGGAGAGGGAUGGGCCCGCGGCCUGUUAGCUUGUUGGUGGGGUAACGGCCUACCAAGGCAAUGAUGGGUAGCUGGGUUGAGAGACCGACCAGCCAGAUUGGGACUGAGACACGGCCCAGACUCCUACGGGAGGCAGCAGUGGGGAAUCUUGCACAAUGGGCGAAAGCCUGAUGCAGCGACGCCGCGUGCGGGAUGAAGGCCUUCGGGUUGUAAACCGCUUUCAGCAGGGACGAGGCGAAAGUGACGGUACCUGCAGAAGAAGCCCGGCUAAAC